rnacentral:rRNA from 1 species
CCUACGGGUGGCAGCAGUGAGGAAUAUUGGUCAAUGGGCGUAAGCCUGAACCAGCCAAGUCGCGUGAAGGAUGAAGGUUCUAUGGAUCGUAAACUUCUUUUAUAAGGGAAUAAAGUGCGGGACGUGUCCCUUUUUGUAUGUACCUUAUGAAUAAGGAUCGGCUAACUCCGUGCCAGCAGCCGCGGUAAUACGGAGGAUCCGAGCGUUAUCCGGAUUUAUUGGGUUUAAAGGGUGCGUAGGCGGUCUGUUAAGUCAGUUGUGAAAGUCUGUGGCUCAACCGUAGAAUUGCAAUUGAUACUGGGAGGCUUGAGUAUGUUUGAGGGAGGCGGAAUGCGUGGUGUAGCGGUGAAAUGCUUAGAGAUCACGAAGAAUCCCGAUUGCGAAGGCAGCCUGCUAAGCGAUGACUGACGCUGAUGCGCGAAAGCGUGGGGAUCAAACAGGAUUAGAUACCCCAGUAGUC